CUUUAUUGUAGUGCUCGCGCAGUUAAAAUUCUGAAUUCACCUAUAUGUAGUAGAUUUUUCUCGUGUUCCCAAAUAAAUCAGUGAAGAACAAAUAGAUCAAAUAAUUAUAAUUUUCAAUUAAAAAAAAACAUGACAGUGAUAGUUUUAUUUGCAGCCUUUGCAGCUCUCUUAGGUCUUGCAAUUUCUCAAUUUCUUUGUGUAGAGUGCUUGGAAUCUACGGAUGAUGAUAUAAUGAGAGACAUUGCUGAAGAAGUAACCGUAUGCUGUAUAGAAUGUUGUUGUCGUCGGUGCAAAAAAGAGGAAGAAAGAAAUGAAUCAAGAGAAGAAACAAGAUAGAAUUGGAGGAAAUCUCAUUUGAUUAAUGAAAAGGUUUUUUUAAUGGCUAAAAUGACAAAUAAAAUAUUUUACUAAUAAGUUUAUUAAUUUUUUAAAAUGAUGGAGUGAUUAAUCAAGUAACUACGCAAGUGAAAUACCAACUCGUACACAUUACGUCUACAGGUUAUCACUGGCCUAAACUCAUAUCUCCAGUCGAUAAGAACUACUAAAUAGGCAAUGUUCGUUAAUUCCUCUUUAGUACAUUUUUGAGUCUUAAACGUGCAGAAGAAGAAAAGCUAAAAUCCAGAAGAAAAUAUGGCCGUAAUAAUUCUAUUUGCAGCUCUAUUGGGUCUUGGAAUAUCUCAAUUUCUUUGUGCUGAGUGCCUAGAAUCUACAUCAACUGAUCCAACGGAUGAAGUAAUCGAUGCAACAAUUGAUUGUUGUUGCCUUAUGUGCGAAAAUAAGGAAGAAGAUAAAAGGGAAGAUGCACAAGAAAUGAAUAGACUUUGAGGAAAAUUCUUUUGAAGAUGAAAAUUCUGACAAAAUUACAAAUUAUAUUUUUUGUAAGUUUAAAGCAAUAAAAAACGCGACAAAUUU